ensembl:lncRNA
GAGAGAGAGAGAGCAUCUGCAGCGCCCGAAAUGUUCCUCUCAGGCAGCCGUGCGUCCAUGUGAAGCCAUGCGUCCACAUGGAGAUGAUGAUAGGACAGACAUUAUGUUCACCACCACCGGGCCUUUCCCGGCCACCUGCUCCCUCCUUACACCUGGCAGAUGCUGCAGUGGCCGACAUGCUGCAGGUGGUUGCAUGAUGAGCAGAGCCAACAGCAGUGAAGAGAACAGAUGGACGUUUUCAGAGGCAUCCAAGUCCGGAUGAUAGCAGGCGGGUAGCUGUGACCUCGCUCAGCCACAGCUGGGACCCGGACAGAGAGUUGCCACCUUCGCUCCCUCCACAUGCAGACGGAGAGACAUCAGACGUCAGCGGUGCUGCCGGCACGCGAUGUGUAACCAGCGUACUCUCAAAAACGUGCAUGCAGAGUUUGGACCAGAGGCAUUAACUUAUAAUGUCAGGAUUCAUUUGAUUCAUCUAAUUAUUUUUCCUCAGAACAUAAAGUACAAUGGGUGAUUCUUCUUUGGUAUAAUAAAUCAGCUUCUUCUAAUUGGUGGACUGGAAAUAAUUAGUGUGUUAAUUUCAGCGCUUGUAAUAAAAGCUUUGAAAAGCCGCUGAUACUUAUGUAUUUAUAUUUUAGUGGGAACUAUUUUACCGUUCGC